CCAUGGCGGAGGGGCUGGGAGCAGGGCGGACCUUCAGCCGCCCCACGCCGCCGCCGCAGACGGGCUGGGAGCGGCUCAGCGAGCUGUGGCGGCGAGACGAGCAGCAGCGGUAUCCGGAGGAGACGGUGAACAUCAUCAAGUCGGCGUUCACCGGGGGCCUGGUCGGCUGGCUGUACGGCGGCCUGCCCGCCUUCCGCCAGGCGCGGAGGGCCUUCAUCGAGGGCAGCCAGGGAGAGGUGUUCCAGAACCGCGCCGAUGCGGUGCAAUCUGCACACCGUGCUGGGCUCAGGAGCUUCAUCCGCUACGGCUGGCGCUGGAGCUGGAGGGUGGCCACCUUCGUGACCAUAUUCAACAUGGUGAGCACCGGUCUGUCCGUGUACCGCGAUAAAACCACCAUCAGUAAUUUUGCUUCAGCAGGAGCCUUCACAGGAGCUCUCUUCAGAAUGCACUUGGGCCUGUCUGGGCUGGCAGGCGGCUUCCUGUUCGGAACAGCCUUUGGGAUCCCUGCAGGGGGCCUCAUAAUGAUUGCACAGAAACUUGCUGGUGAGACAUUGCAGGAGAAGCGAAAUCGUGAGCGCAGGGAGCAGUAUGAACAGAAAUUAGCAGAGUGGCAAUCCAGGCUUAAUGUGACUGAAGACUUGGGCAAAAUGGACAGCGAUGCCCAGGAGCAAUCACAGACAGAAAAUAGCAGGAGAAUCUAGGAGCUGCUGAGUCGUCCUCAGAUCUCUGUUGCAUCAUGGUGAAAGCAUCUCUGCUACACUAUGCUGAAAGCUUCAAGGAAUAUCCCUUCUCCCUAGAGGUUGGCACUAGAAAGCCUCACAUGUGGGGAGGCAACCCACCUACCAGUAACAAAGAGGGUCACGGGCUCUUCACACAGAAGAUGAGAUCCAGGUUUGUCCGGUGAAGACUGGAGACUCUGAACAAUACAUUGUGGGUGGGUACUCACCAGUGCCAGGACCAUAAGCACAAGGGUGCAGCCCAGCCAGGAGCUUCUGCCAACACAGCACUGAUACGCAACCCUGUGCAGCAGCAAGGCCAGGGCAGUUCAGCUAUUGUGCAGGCAAGACCUCCAAGAGCAGCCAGCAAAACUUUGGGAUUGUGGAUCCUGAAAACGACAAUGCAGUUGGGUAUGUAUUUAUUUUCUAUUUCCUUUUGCAGCAACAGGGGAAGAGUAGGCGUACAGAAAAUGUCAGUGUGAUGGCACAUCAUGGGUUGCAUGAGGUUCUCUGUGCCUUGCCCCUAAGAGUCUCCUUUGCUGCCAAAAGGAGAACAAAAACCUCCGUGGCAGUACAUAUACAAGGGCUGGAAACUCCUGCUGAUGUCACAUCUACCCUUACAAGGCGCUGCAGCCUUGAAACUGCAACCUGAGCGCUGAGGGCCUGCAGGAAUCAAAGUCCAUGAAGAGCCAUUCAGCCCCACAAAAGUCCCCUUUCACUUUAAAGGUGAACUGCAAAGCAAAAAUGAAAGCUCAGUUCUGUCCCAUUUCUGUGUUGAAUACCCUCCGUAGCCAGGCUGUGAGGGAGGCAUCCGCCAUGGGAAUAAUUUUUAAUUACUUUUUUAGAAAAAGAAAUAAGCCACCCUCCUGCCCUUGGUGAAGCCCACCCACUCCCUCGCUGUGUGCUUGUGUUUCUCCCUUGCUGGCAGCCUGCAGUGUGCGGCCGAUGCUGACCCUUUUCCCCAGGCAGAGAAGAUGCUCCAUUCAAACUGCUGCUGUGCUGCAGCUGCCCCCAAAGCAAGGCUAAUUGGAACAGAAAGGUGAGCUUAGAGGAAAGGCAUUGGUUUUAUACGCUCUGAGAAUCAGAAAGCAAGAAGGCCGUUUGGGUCUUUAACCAACAUCUUUAGUCUUUCACAAAAUCUUCAGCAAGCCCACAUAUAGGGAAAGACCCUGCUUGGUGGGCCCAGAAAACUUUGCCCCUCUGGGGGCAGCACAUCAGACAGUGCAUCUGCACACUUCUUCAGCUGGCAGUUUUGCAGAAAGCUCUCAGGCAAACUGUCAGGCAUUUAUAUUAGCUUGAACAUUCAGAAAUUUCGAAAAACUGAAUCUCCAAGGGGCUUGAACACUCCCCAUUGUUCUUUACCCCAGUUGAUUUUACUGGUGAGAGAUCUGAAUCUUUCCAAGAUUUUCAUAGCAAAUGUCCUGUGCAAUGCAUGAAUACUGGAAUGAAUACUUUAAGCUAAACCAGCCGCUCUGCACCGCUCUGGCAAAGCAAAGCAGCUGCUGUCUGUGUUCAGUUAGCUGCUGUCACAGUGACCUCCUAACAGGUCAUGUUCAGUUACUCAUCCCAGAUGUGGUGGGAGAGCAGAGAACUCCUUUGUAUUCUGAAGAAAACCUGCCUCCCACUUCAUUUGGCUGCAGAUCCAUUCAGUCUCAUUUCCUCCUACACACUACACAGUGUGCCACAGCAAUGAGAGGGGAGGAUUAUUCCUAGUUUACAUUGAUGUCAUGGCAGGCCUGAGACAGGGAGAGGGUUGGAAGAGGUUUCCUAAAUGUUUAGCUCUGCUUCCUUUUGCAGUGUAACGGCAGUGUGAGCUGUGCUCCCCACCUCUGCAUGCCUCUGUCUUCACAGCCAUACUCCUGCUAACAGAUCAGUAACUGCCUUUAAAGAAUAAAUCCUUGAAAUCAUAUGGUUCAGGCUGUGAAAACCAGAGACCUUCCUGCAUCUACAGGCAUUCCAUACCCUCCUUCCAUGCCAUGAAAGCAUCCAGAAUGGCACAGGAGGUCAUGCUGUAACUGAGUCACUGCUCUGUCAUAAACCUGGCUUUAAUGGGAAAGGAACUCCACCGAUGACAAAAACUUCCAUGAUCUGUGAUUAGUGACUGAGAAGGAGAAGGAGAAUCUGAAAUGCUUUGAUGAAGGGGCUCAGAGCAGCACGAGGGCCACGACAGCCAACCAGUCCUUCUCCCUUUGUUCCUGCUCUCCCCAGCCCUGUCUGGGAACUUCUUGAGAUAAAAAUCUGCCACUCUCUGAGUCACGCGGGCCCUGAGCUGGGACAAGCCCACCGCCUGGGUAUGUCCAGUCUGCUUUGCUUAUAAGAUGAGUAAGACCGCAACUCCUCUCACUGCAACUUAGUUAGUACAUGUCUAACCUCAGCACUAGCCAGGCCAUCUGAGCGCGGGGCUGAAAAGUACUUGGGAGAUGAUGGCGUUGACUGAAUAGCUUCUUGACAUCUCCCCCUUUGUUGCAAAGUCCUCCACAUGGGCGUUUCAUGGGGAAGAAAGGGUGGAGGGCAUGCUUAUGUGUUGCUGGCAUGCACUGGGAGGGACACUGGCGGUGGGGACGGAAGGACAUUUCUGACUUGGGGAAAGGAGUAAAGGGAAGUCUGUCUGAGCCUUCCCCUUCUCCAUUCCCAGUACUGGGAGCGGGUGACCCAGCCAGAGGAAAAGGCAGGGGAAACACUGAAUGUGGAUGCCCGCAGAAGAUUUGCAUGUUUUAGUUCCUUUUGAGAUCAAAUUCCUGCAACUGACUGAGCACUCUUAUGAUUCCCAAGUUCCAGCAGAAACUAGAUGUGGCAGUUGUGUAAGACAGGCCUUUGGGGGGGAUCUGUAGCACACGAAGACAAAAAUAAACUCGCUAAUUUUUUUCCCCAGA